rnacentral:rRNA from 1 species
GAUGAACGCUGGCGGCGUGCUUAACACAUGCAAGUCGAACGGAAAGGCUCCUGCUUGCAGGGGUACUCGAGUGGCGAACGGGUGAGUAACACGUGGGUGAUCUGCCCUGCACUUCGGGAUAAGCCUGGGAAACUGGGUCUAAUACCGGAUAGGACCACAUUUUGGAUGGUGUGGUGGAAAGUUUUUCGGUGUGGGAUGAGCUCGCGGCCUAUCAGCUUGUUGGUGGGGUAAUGGCCUACCAAGGCGUCGACGGGUAGCCGGCCUGAGAGGGUGUACGGCCACAUUGGGAGUGAGAGACGAGCCAGACUCCUACGGGAGGCAGCAGGGGGGAAUAUUGCACAAUGGGCGAAAGCCUGAUGCAGCGACGCCGCGUGAGGGAUGAAGGCCGUCGGGUUGUAAACUCCUUUCGCUAGGGACGAAGCGAUUUUGUGACGGUACCUGGAGAAGAAGCACCGGCUAACUACGUG